rnacentral:rRNA from 1 species
CGUGUAGGCGGCGCGACAAGUCGGGCGUGAAAUCCCUUGGCUCAACCGAGUGAAUGGCGUUCGAAACUGUCGUGCUGGAGUUCGGGAGAGGGACGUGGAAUUCCCGGUGUAGAGGUGAAAUUCGUAGAUAUCGGGAGGAACACCGGUGGCGAAGGCGGCGUCCUGGACCGAUACUGACGCUGAGACGCGAAAGCGUGGGGAGCAAACA